GACGAACGCUGGCGGCGUGCUUAACACAUGCAAGUCGAGGGGUAACAUGGUAGCAAUACUGAUGACGACCGGCAAACGGGUGCGGAACACGUACAGAACCUUCCUUUAAGCGGGGGAUAGCCCAUAGAAAUGUGGAUUAAUACCCAUAGUAAUAUUUAAUGGCAUCAUUAGAUAUUUAAAGAUUUAUCACUUAAAGAUGGCUGUGCGGCUGAUUAGGUAGUUGGUGCGGGUAACGGCCCACCAAGCCAUCGAUCAGUAACUGGUGUGAGAGCACGACCAGUCACACGGGCACUGAGACACGGGCCCGACUCCUACGGGAGGCAGCAGUAAGGAAUAUUGGUCAAUGGACGCAAGUCUGAACCAGCCAUGCCGCGUGAAGGAUGAAGGCCCUCUGGGUUGUAAACUUCUUUUAUCUGGGAAGAAAUGCCUUGUUUUUUAACGGGUUUGCGGUACCAGAGGAAUAAGCACCGGCUAACUCCGUGCCAGCCG
rnacentral:rRNA from 1 species